CACGCUCCACACAAUAGUAAUAUUGAGCAUGAGGCCAUCCAAUAGAGGAUGUAACACCAGUAGCAUUGGUUAAUAGGGAUAUUAAUUGUUUGCUGCAUUAGGUGU
rnacentral:sRNA from 1 species